UACGAAGGGGGGCUAGCGUUGCUCGGAAUCACUGGGCGUAAAGGGUGCGUAGGCGGGUCUUUAAGUCAGGGGUGAAAUCCUGGAGCUCAACUCCAGAACUGCCUUUGAUACUGAAGAUCUUGAGUUCGGGAGAGGUGAGUGGAACUGCGAGUGUAGAGGUGAAAUCGUAGAUAUUCGCAAGAACACCAGUGGCGAAGGCGGCUCACUGGCCCGGAUACUGACGCUGAGACGCGAAAGCGUGGGGAGCAAACAGG
rnacentral:rRNA from 1 species